rnacentral:rRNA from 1 species
AUGAACGCUAGCUACAGGCUUAACACAUGCAAGUCGAGGGGCAGCAUGGUCUUAGCUUGCUAAGGCCGAUGGCGACCGGCGCACGGGUGAGUAACACGUAUCCAACCUGCCGUCUACUCUUGGACAGCCUUCUGAAAGGAAGAUUAAUACAAGAUGGCAUCAUGAGUCCGCAUGUUCACAUGAUUAAAGGUAUUCCGGUAGACGAUGGGGAUGCGUUCCAUUAGAUAGUAGGCGGGGUAACGGCCCACCUAGUCUUCGAUGGAUAGGGGUUCUGAGAGGAAGGUCCCCCACAUUGGAACUGAGACACGGUCCAAACUCCUACGGGAGGCAGCAGUGAGGAAUAUUGGUCAAUGGGCGAGAGCCUGAACCAGCCAAGUAGCGUGAAGGAUGACUGCCCUAUGGGUUGUAAACUUCUUUUAUAAAGGAAUAAAGUCGGGUAUGGAUACCCGUUUGCAUGUACUUUAUGAAUAAGGAUCGGCUAACUCCGUGCCAGCAGCCGCGGUAAUACGGAGGAUCCGAGCGUUAUCCGGAUUUAUUGGGUUUAAAGGGAGCGUAGAUGGAUGUUUAAGUCAGUUGUGAAAGUUUGCGGCUCAACCGUAAAAUUGCAGUUGAUACUGGAUAUCUUGAGUGCAGUUGAGGCAGGCGGAAUUCGUGGUGUAGCGGUGAAAUGCUUAGAUAUCACGAAGAACUCCGAUUGCGAAGGCAGCCUGCUAAGCUGCAACUGACAUUGAGGCUCGAAAGUGUGGGUAUCAAACAGGAUUAGAUACCCUGGUAGUCCACACGGUAAACGAUGAAUACUCGCUGUUUGCGAUAUACUGCAAGCGGCCAAGCGAAAGCGUUAAGUAUUCCACCUGGGGAGUACGCCGGCAACGGUGAAACUCAAAGGAAUUGACGGGGGCCCGCACAAGCAGUGGAGUAUGUGGUUUAAUUCGAAGCAACGCGAAGAACCUUACCAAGUCUUGACAUCCGCCUGACCGAUCCUUAACCGGAUCUUUCCUUCGGGACAGGCGAGACAGGUGGUGCAUGGUUGUCGUCAGCUCGUGCCGUGAGGUGUCGGCUUAAGUGCCAUAACGAGCGCAACCCUUGUUGUCAGUUACUAACAGGUUCCGCUGAGGACUCUGACAAGACUGCCAUCGUAAGAUGUGAGGAAGGUGGGGAUGACGUCAAAUCAGCACGGCCCUUACGUCCGGGGCUACACACGUGUUACAAUGGGGGGUACAGAGGGCCGCUACCACGCGAGUGGAUGCCAAUCCCCAAAACCUCUCUCAGUUCGGACUGGAGUCUGCAACCCGACUCCACGAAGCUGGAUUCGCUAGUAAUCGCGCAUCAGCCACGGCGCGGUGAAUACGUUCCCGGGCCUUGUACACACCGCCCGUCACACCAUGAGAGUUGGGGAUACCCGAAGCCUGUGAGCCAACAGUAAUGAGGCAGCAGUCGAAGGUAGAAUCAAUGAUUGGGGUG